AUGAGCUUCCUCCGCGCGCUCGCGGACUCCCUCUCGUCGCUCCUCUUCGCGCCGCCCAUGGACGCGCCGGCGGCGGCCGUGGUGGGGGAGCGCGUGGCCGUGAAACUGCGGGGCUACUUCGAGCUGGCCAAGGAGGAGAUCGACAAGGCCGUGCGCGCCGAGGAGUGGGGCCUCCCCGACGACGCCGAGGCGCACUACCGCAACGCCCUCCGCGUCAUGCUCGAGGCCAAGGCCGCCCGCGUCCCCGACGCCGUCUCCUCCAGCGAGAGGGGGCAGGUGAGGGUGUACCAGGACAAGAUCGCCAAGUGGCAGACGCAGGUGGAGGAGCGGCUCAGGGUGCUCGGCCGGAGGAGCGGAGCGGCUGCACCAGUCCCCAAGAAGGUUGUUACAAACAAUCAAGUAAAUAGGCCUGAGAGACCAGCAUCAACUAGCUCCCGUAAGUCAGCUUUGCAGUCUAGCCCCACCUUUAACAGAGGUGGUCAAGCAUCCUCUCAUCAGAAGAACAGCGUUGGUGGAUCCAAGCCAGUGCAAAGAGCUGGUGGAAAGGAUGAUGACAAGCUUGUUGAAAUGAUAAAUACAACAAUCGUGGAUAGAAGUCCAUCUGUCAGAUGGGAUGAUGUUGCUGGUCUGGACAAAGCAAAGCAAGCACUCAUGGAAAUGGUUAUCUUACCUACUAAGCGAAGGGAUUUAUUCACUGGUCUUCGGAGGCCUGCGAAAGGGCUGCUUCUCUUUGGUCCUCCGGGGAAUGGGAAAACAAUGCUUGCCAAAGCUGUUGCUUCAGAAUCUGAAGCAACAUUUUUUAAUGUUUCAGCUUCUUCGUUGACAUCAAAGUGGGUAGGGGAAGCUGAAAAGCUUGUUCGGACACUUUUCAUGGUUGCUGUCGAGAGGCAACCGUCUGUUAUUUUCCUGGAUGAGAUCGACAGUGUAAUGUCAACAAGGUUAGCUAGCGAGAAUGAUGCAAGCAGGCGACUGAAAUCUGAAUUCCUGAUCCAGUUUGAUGGGGUGACAUCAAACCCAGAUGAUUUAGUAAUUGUGAUAGGAGCUACGAAUAAACCACAAGAGUUGGAUGACGCUGUUCUUCGAAGACUGGUAAAAAGAAUAUAUGUGCCACUGCCUGAUCCAAAUGUACGGAGGUUACUUCUGAAAAAUCAGCUCAAAGGACAAGCAUUCAAAUUGUCCAAUCAUGAUCUAGAGAGGCUUGCUGUGGAAACUGAAGGGUAUUCUGGAAGUGACCUGAGAGCCUUGUGCGAGGAAGCUGCAAUGAUGCCGAUCAGAGAGCUCGGUCCACAGAAUAUUCUCACCAUUAAAGCAAACCAGCUGCGACCAUUGAGGUAUGAAGAUUUCAGAAAUGCGAUGACCGCGAUAAGGCCGAGCUUGCAGAAGAGCAAGUGGGACGAGCUGGAGAAAUGGAACGAUGAGUUUGGCGCAAGCUGA
rnacentral:rRNA from 1 species